AGGAGCGACCAUACAAGCACUAAUGCACGGGAUUCCAUCAGAACUCCGCAGUUAAGCGUGCUUGGGGGAGAAUAGUUCUACGAAUGGCUUGUC
rnacentral:rRNA from 1 species